rnacentral:rRNA from 1 species
GACGAACGCUGGCGGCGUGCUUAACACAUGCAAGUCGAACGGACAGGCCCUGCUUUUGUGGGGUGCUCGAGUGGCGCAGGGGUGAGUAACACGUGUGUAAACUGCCCUUGUCUUUGGGGUAACUUCUGGGAACUGGGGCUCAUAUCGGAUAGGAGCUCCUGCUGCACGUGGGGGGUUGGAAAGAUUCGGCGGUUGGGGCUGGACUGGCUGCUUCUCCGCUUGAUGGUGGGGUAGUGGCUUACCAAGGUUUUGACGGGUAGCCGGCCUGAGAGGGGGACCGGCCACAUGGGGACUGAGGUACGGCCCAGACUCCUACGGGAGGCAGCAGGGGGAAAUAUUGCGCAAUGGGCGGAAGCCUGAUGCAGCAACGCCGCGUGCGGGAUGACGGCCUUCGGGUUGUAAACCGCUUUCGCCUGUGACGAAGCGUGAGUGACGGUAAUGGGUAAAGAAGCACCGGCUAACUACGUG